CGUGACCGUGCAUAACCGUGCAUUUCUCCCUGCCACAAGGGGUCGCGGGUUCAAAUCCCGCUGGUCCGACCA
rnacentral:tRNA from 1 species